GAGCACUGGCGUUUCCUGAGCGCAAGCAAAUGCCUGACACAUGGACUUCGCCGAAUUCCAAAAUGUAGCAAAACAGUGCCUGCAUAUUUGGCAGGAAUCACCACCAGUUCAGGUCAGUGUCUGUUUCAGCAGAAGACGAAGCCCUGCAUGUUAACAGAGGAAAAUAAUUCAGAGGAAAAGGGGAGGAACAACAUGUGACAUUUUAUCCCAGACUGUCCACCCUGCUCUCAGGAGAGGAUGGUAAAGCAGACUGUUUUGUGCAGUAAUAGAGCUUGGAAAUGGUGACAAACACAAGCUGAGAUUACUUCCAAAUAUGAAGAGCGAGACUAUCAAAGGGAAAAGACAAUCUCACAGAGCCCUCUGUGUUUCCUGUAGUGGAGUUGAUUUCAGAAGAAGAAAACACGGAAAACAGAAAACAUCUAAACUGGACUUCAUAAGUCUGAAGUA